AACGAACGCUGGCGGCAGGCUUAACACAUGCAAGUCGAGCGCCCCGCAAGGGGAGCGGCAGACGGGUGAGUAACGCGUGAGAAUCUACCCAUCCCUACGGAAUAGCUCCGGGAAACUGGAAUUAAUACCGUAUACGCCCUACGGGGGAAAGAUUUAUCGGGGAUGGAUGAGCCCGCGUUGGAUUAGCUAGUUGUGGGGUAAAGGCCUACCAAGGCGACGAACCAUAGCUGGUCUGGGAGGAUGAUCAGCCACAUUGGGACUGAGACACGGCCCAACCUCCUACGGGAGGCAGCAGUGGGGAAUAUUGGACAAUGGGGGCAACCCUGAUCCAGCCAUGCCGCGUGAGUGAUGAAGGCCUUAGGGUUGUAAAGCUCUUUCACCGGGGAAGAUAAUGACGGUACCCGGAGAAGAAGCCCCGGCUAACUUCGUGCCAGCCGCCGCCGUAA
rnacentral:rRNA from 1 species